CGUCUGGUUAAUUCCGUUAACGAACGAGAACCUUAACCUGCUAAAUAGCUAGGCCUAACAUUGUUAGGUCGCCAGCUUCUUAGAGGGACUAUCGGUGUUUAACCGAUGGAAGUUUGAGGCAAUAACAGGUCUGUUAUGCCCUUAGAUGUUCUGGGCCGCACGCGCGCUACACUGAUGAAGUCAUCGAGUUCAUUUCCUUUAUCGGAAGAUAUGGGUAAUCUUUUGAAACUUCAUCGUGCUGGGGGAUAGGGCAUUGCAAUG
rnacentral:rRNA from 1 species